UAGUCCAUGCCGUAAGCGAUGAGAACUAGAGGUUGGGACUCUUGAAGUCUUAGUCUCGAAGCUAACGCGUUAAGUUCUCCGCCUGGGGAGUACGGUCGCAAGAUUAAAACUCAAAGGAAUUGACGGGGGCCCGCACAAGCGGUGGAGCAUGUGGUUUAAUUCGAUGCAACGCGAAAAACCUUACCUACUCUUGACAUCCUCGGAACUUUGCAGAGAUGCAUUGGUGCCUUCGGGAACCGAGAGACAGGUGCUGCAUGGCUGUCGUCAGUUCGUGUCGCGAGAUGUUGGGUUAAGUCCCGUAACGAGCGCAACCCCUAUCUUUAGUUACCAGCACGUUAUGGUGGGGACUCUAGAGAAACUGCCGGUGAUAAACCGGAGGAAGGUGGGGACGAUGUCAAGUCAUCAUGGUCCUUAUGAGUAGGGCUACACACGUGCUACAAUGGGCUGUACAAAGGGUUGCCAAGCCGUAAGGUGGAGCUAAUCCCAUAAAGCAGCUCGUAGUCCGGA
rnacentral:rRNA from 1 species